rnacentral:lncRNA from 1 species
CAGUGUGUUAACUGAAGACAGAAUGGUUCUGUGAACCCUUCUCUUUGCCUGUUAAGCCAAGUGGUAAAGUAAUCCAAAAGCCACAGAACUAUUGCACCCAAGAGUCUGAGUUUGAUCUCUGCUGGGCUUUCUUAACUAAACUGGGUCAAAGAUUUGGGCUGGAUCUGGAUGGAUUACUACUAUAAAAGGAAGUCUGAGCUGAAGUCUUUCCAGUGGCAUGUGGUGACUAUCAUCCUCAUCCAUGGAGACUCUUUUGGCCUGAAUCCAUAUCUUAAGGGACAGGCCAGCCAGCAGGGGAUCUACUCACAACACAGCGUCAUGGAUUGAUAGUCAAGCCGUGGAAAAUGUUCUUCCAUCAGCAGACUCUGGAGCACUUGCAAGCUCUUCAGAUAGCAGGCUGGCAUUUCUACAAUUUACUCUGGAUCUGCAGUAAGUGGCUUGCAGCUUAUGAUGCUGGCCAAGCCAUCUUUCUACCAUCUACAUUCUGAAAAUACUCAGAGGUGGGGACUCACCUGUGAAUACAUGGCCCGUGUGAGACCUGCUUCACCAUUGAACACCUAAUGCUCCAUCCAGUGCCCAGAGAAGCAAUGAAAUGAGAAGCUUUGCUCUGCCCCAUGCUCCCAUCAUGAUGUGCUGCCUCACCAUAGGCCCCAAAGUAAUGGAGCCAGCUUACUAUUGACUGAGACCUCCAAAACCGCUCACCACUGUUGGCCUUGUGUCUCAGAGAAGACUUUGGAUUGGGACUUUUCAGUGAUGCUGGAACUGUUAAGACUUUGGUGACUUUUACAGGAAUCAAACUCAGGACCUUGCACUUGCGAGGCAGGCAGCAGCACCACUGAGCUAAAUUCCCAGCAACCUGUUGAUUUUUUUUAACAAGAAAGUAAACCAAGGCAUUUUGAAAAAGAUGUAUCAGUGUGAUGACGUUCUUCUCACCAAGAGAAAACGUGACCUUCACAAAUCCGACAGAGCAGGUUGGAGGAGCCUUGAGCCCCUUCUUCACGGGCAGGGACCGCCCCUCGUCGCUAGGCAGCAGUGUGGACUGCACCCCUCAGCACUUCUACAAAACCCUGCCUCGUUUUGGUCAACCUGUUGGGAUUUCAGAGCAGAGCAGCCUGGC